rnacentral:rRNA from 1 species
GAUGAACGCUGGCGGCGUGCCUAAUACAUGCAAGUCGAGCGAAUGGAUUGAGAGCUUGCUCUUAUGAAGUUAGCGGCGGACGGGUGAGUAACACGUGGGUAACCUGCCCAUAAGACUGGGAUAACUCCGGGAAACCGGGGCUAAUACCGGAUAACAUUUUGAACCGCAUGGUUCGAAAUUGAAAGGCGGCUUCGGCUGUCACUUAUGGAUGGACCCGCGUCGCAUUAGCUAGUUGGUGAGGUAACGGCGCACCAAGGCAACGAUGCGUAGCCGACCUGAGAGGGUGAUCGGCCACGCUGGGACUGAGACACGGCCCAGACUCCUACGGGAGGCAGCAGUAGGGACUCUUCCGCAAUGGACGAAAGUCUGACGGAGCAACGCCGCGUGAGUGAUGAAGGCUUUCGGGUCGUAAAACUCUGUUGUUAGGGAAGAACAAGUGCUAGUUGAAUAAGCUGGCACCUUGACGGUACCUAACCAGGAAGCCACGGCUAACUACGUGCCAGCCGCCGCAGUAA